rnacentral:rRNA from 3 species
GGACUACACGGGUAUCUAAUCCCGUUUGCUCCCCUGGCUUUCGCGCCUCAGCGUCAGAAGAGGCCCAGCGCGCCGCUUUCGCCACCGGCGUUCCUUCCGAUAUCUACGCAUUUCACCGCUCCACCGGAAGUUCCGCACGCCCCUGCCUCCCUCGAGGCCGGCAGUAUCCCAGGCACUUCCCCCGUUGAGCGGGGGGAUUUCACCCCAGACUGGCCGGCCCGCCUACGCGCCCUUUAAGCCCAGUGAUUCCGAACAACGUUCGCACGGUUCGUCUUACCGCGGCGGCUGGCAC